UUUCUACAGCACUGUAACGCCCGUCUUUUGCCCAAACCUUAUGCAUUUCUAAAGAAUGCCUUUUUGCAUUCAAUUUACAUGUGUGGAUGCCUGUGUUUGAUCUGUAUUGUCUUAGCUGGCCAUGGCCAAAGAUCCCCAACACCCGCUCAUG